UUUUUAUUCUUUGACAGAAGCAUUGACUCUUUUCGAAACAGUUCACUCAAUGGUCUUUCAUUCAAUCGUUUUCUCGAUGAAGCUACACUGACUUACUUUUUAAAUGAAUAAAAACACUUCGUGAAGUUGUGUAUUAAUGCGCUAGAGAAGUGAAAAACGAAGAGAGAAGAACUUAACUUGUAAUUUUCCUGCCGGGGUUUAGUUGACAUUUGAUUCUUUCGACGCAUCGCUGGAAAAGAGCUCAAAAAUUUCACUGAAACCAAUAUAUUCAGAUGAUAAGCGUUUUCCCGAUAUCCUUGAAAGUUCAAAGCAUCCAUUCAGUCGAUAAAAAAAGUACUUUAAAAUUCAUAUUUGAAAACUCAUUUACUGCAUUCAAAAUUUCUUUGCAUUCAAGAAAGCGAAUCGUUUGGUGUAGCGUAUGAUCGAAUUAUGACGAUGUAAUUGGAUGAGUUUCUCAAAAGCGAAUCUGGCAACUGGCAGUUGACUUAUUGAGUAAAAUUAUUGGUUAUAUAUAUUUCGUGACGCCAUCAAUGCGUGUGAGAAAGAGAUUCAAUACGACGAGAUAAAUCGUUUUUAUCUAGACACCGAGCUUAUGCAGCAUAGACGAAUUGAAUUAUUUUCUCAUUUAAUUACUAAUUUAAACCAACAACAGUAUUAUAUCAUUAGGAAAUGAUAUGCGGGGUUAAAUGUAAUUAAGCAAAGACGCAAACCACAGCCUUUCAGCAAAUAUAAAAACCUUAAAAGAUGAACACUAGUCUUCGGCGUAUACUCUUGAUCAGCUUAAGAUACUGAAUUCGAUUUCGUCCGCCACGCUUUUAUAACCGUAAAAAUUAAUAUACGACGCUGAAUUAAUCGUAUCUAAUGCGAAAGUAGAUCUAAUCAGGCUGCAACUACGUUCAUUUUAAGUCAAAUUUUAUAAUUUCCAAUCCAUUGCUGGUAUUAAUCUAAAGCGUGUGGAAAUAUAUUUUAAAGGCUUUCUACAACGCGAACGAUUGUAAGAAUGAUUACACGUACGUUGUAAUACCAUAUACAGGAAUUGAUUGGCUGCAUUGGUAUGGCUUUUCACGUGAAAAGGAGACACGAAAGAAUAAUAAAAUAUUCAAUAAGUGGUAGCGUUAUUCAAAAUAAACCCCUAAUAGGGAGGCGGUCCGAUCCGAGCAGUAUUUAAAAGUGUUUGUUCUUAGGCCAAAGGAUGUCGGUGCAUCAAAUUGGAUUAACAUAUACCAAAAAAAGGCGCUCUGCGGCUUGAACGUAAGAAGAUAAGAUAGACAGAUGGGCAGACACUGAAUUCACGAUUUCCGGAAAGUGAUUCUAAUUCGAUCGGUAUAAUAGGAAAAGGGUGUAUGUCACAUCUUUCGCAUAAACUUAAUAUGCGUUUUGUACUGCAAAUGCUGUAAGGUAUAAAAAAAAAAAAAUUAAUGUAUUCAGCACAUCAUUGCUUCCGAAAGUGAGAGAAAUGCAUUUUCAAAUCAUAAAACUAUGACUUCUACGUAAUCAACACAUCACUUAACAAAUUGGUCGGAUGAUGUAUAGAUUUGAACACUAUUGACGAAUCCAUAUGUUUGUGUUUUUGUAAAGUAAUGGAUAAAAAAUUCUGAGUUUCGUGUAUAGCGUCGCUAAAACCUUUGUAACUGAUGAAAAUGAAUGGUCGGAAUGCUAUGUAAUUUUUCCACAUUUUGUUUGACAGUUGGCUCUUUUUAAAAAUCAUAUGGUUUUGGCUGCAGUCAUCCUAUAUCUAUAUGUCAUCGUACGACCUUAUUGAGUCAUGUGCUAUUACGUUUUCAUCAACAACACCCACAAAAAUUUCUUGCUGUUUAUGCGUAUUCUACGGAAUUAACAUUACCGCGAAUAAUAUAAAACCGCUAUUAGCAGGUAUUACACGAGCUUCCAAGGAGAGCAAACGUUUUUAAAAAACUUUUUAAAAAAAUUUAAAUGAAUAUCUCUUCUGGCUGUUUCGAUUAUUCGUAAUUACAUCUCAUGGAUCUUACUACGAUUUGGAUAAACGAGAAAUAUUUAAAUUU